UUUUUUGUUUUCGAGCAGGGGAGGGAGGGGAGGGCGAGGCGAAGCGGCAGCUCGGCGGCGUUAAUGGGUUCCUUGAGGAGAAGCCGAGGGUAGAGCAUCCAUCCAUCCCUGCAGCAGAGCUGCUCCAUCCCUCUCAUCACCUUGGUGCCUCCUCUGGACUCCUUCAACUUCUCCAUGUCCUUUAUGUGCUGGAUGCAACAUUCCAGGUGGAAUCUCUCCAGGCUGGAGCAGAGGGACAAAAUCACUUGCUGCCUGCGGUUCCUUGGAUGCAGCCCAGGACAUUUGGCUUUCUGACUGGAAAUAGCUCCAGCCCUGAGGUCUGAAUUGAGCUGGAACAACAGCUUUAAUUUCUUCCUCUUCAAUAAAGAAAAGUGUGAUCUUCCAUGUGACUUGUCAAACUGGCUCCACAAGUCUGACUUCUGAUGACUUUGCCCACAGACUUCCAGUUCUGGUGUUCCACCAGCUGAAAAACCCAAGUUCCCAGUGAGUCAGCUCCUCAAACUUCUAAUUUAACUGCAAUGUAGCACUUCUAUCAAGGCCUGUUCUUUAUCAGAUCCUUCACUUCUUCCUUUCCACCAACACUGCUGAGCAUUUGCAAAGUGGCAGCGCAGCUCAGCUUUCCACAGGAAUUCUGCGCCCAGCUGAAGCUUCUGUAUUUCCAGUGAGGAAGAGUGGGCUGUCAAAUACCACACAGUUUCCAUGUUGGGAUAGUUUCUUCCUGUCUGAGGAAAGCUGGUGGGAAGCCACUUUCCUUGACAAGGAAAAAGCUGCUGAAGCAAAAGUGGGACAGCUGGAAAGGCAGAGCCAAGUGCAAGUGAGACAGGCAUCCACAUCUUCCCUUUCCUAGGGAGAACCUGCAGAUGGAUCCUUGUCACCCACUGGGAGCCAUCAGGACAGGGAUGAUGGCAGCUCUGUGGAGGGACAGAUUAGCUCAGCCUCUGAGAAAACUCUGGAGCCUCCAACUUCAAAAGGAUGUGGAGUGAAUUCAAAGGAGGCCAUUGAGUUCCAAAUGCUGGAGCUCCUCUGCUCUGGAGCCAGGCUAGGAGAGCUGGAAAAGUCCAGCCUGGAGAAAGGAAGGCUUCAGGGAGAUCUCAGAGGUCUUCCAGGGCCUGAAGGGGCUCCAGGAGAGCUGGAGAGGGUUGAGAUAAAGAGGGUUGAGUUCUUCUGCUCUGGAGCCAGGCUGGGAAAGCUGGGAAUGUCCAGCCUGGAGAAGUGAAGGCUCUAGGGAGACCUCAGGGCCCCUUCCAGUGCCUAAAGUGGCUCCAGGAGAGGUGGAGAGGGACUUGGGAUGGAGGGAUGGAGGGACAGGAAAAGGGAGAAUUGUCACUGUGAUAUUUUAUGAAAAAUCCCUUCGCUGGGUUUUCUUUUCUUGGGAGGCUGGGAGGCUUCAGCUUCUUCCUUGUUGCUUUGGAAUGUGAUUUGGAGAAUUGUUUAUUCAGCAUGUGAAUUGUUUUAAUUAAAUGACCAAUCCCAAUCCAGCUGUGUCGGGACUCUGGUCAGUCACAGGUUUUUAUUAUUCAUUCUUGUUUUAGCCUUCUGAUGUAUACUUUCUACUUUCUCUUUCUUUAGUAUAGUUUAGUAUAUAAUUUUCUUUUAAUAUAAUAUCAUAAAAUAUUAAAUCAGCCUUCUGAGAACUUGGAGUCAAAUUCUCAUCUCUCACCUCAUCCUGGGGUUCAAAACACCACAACAAGGAAUGGCUUUAAGUUGACACAGGGUAGGGUUGGCUUGAAUAUUAGGAAGAAAUUCUUCCCUGUGAGGGUGGUGAGGCCCUGGCACGGGUUUCCCAGAGAAGCUGUGGCUGCCUCAUCCCUAAAAGUGUCUAAGGUCAGGUUGGAUAAGACUUGGAGCAGCCUGAUCUAGCAGAAGAUCCAGGCCCAUAGCAAGAGGUAGACCUGGUCCUUUCAAAUUCUUUCUAUCUCAAACCAUUCCAUGUUUCCAAGAAGACCAGCCUGUCUGGGUGCUACCACUGCAGAUGUAAG